rnacentral:rRNA from 1 species
GACGAACGCUGGCGGCGUGCCUAAUACAUGCAAGUCGAACGCAGUGGGGACUGGUGAGUAACACGUGGGUGACCUCACAGCUGAGGGGGUACCACUUGGAAACAGGUGCUAAACCGAUACUGCUGGUUGGACCCGGGGUGGAUUAGCUAGGUGGUGAGGUAAAGGCUAACAAGGGCAACGAGGCAUAGCUGAUCUGAGAGGUGGAUCGGUCACACUGGGACUGAGACACGGCCCAGACUCCUACGGGAGGCAGCAGUAGGGAAUAUUGGGCAAUGGGCGAAAGUCUGAUCGAGCCACGCCGCGUGAGUGAAGAAGGUUUUCGGAUUGUAAAACUCUGUUGUUAGAGAAGCGGUAUCUAACCAGUAAGCAACGGCUAACUACGUGCCAGCAGCCGCGGUAAUAC